rnacentral:rRNA from 1 species
CCUACUGGUGGCAGCAGUAGGGAAUUUUGCGCAAUGGGCGAAAGCCUGACGCAGCAACGCCGCGUGAUCGAGACGCCCUUCGGGGUGUAAAGAUCUGUCAGUGGGGACGAAACUUGACGGUACCCACAGAGGAAGCACCGGCUAACUCCGUGCCAGCAGCCGCGGUAAUACGGGGGGUGCAAGCGUUGUCCGGAUUUAUUGGGUUUAAAGGGUGCGUAGGCGGAUUUUUAAGUCAGCGGUAAAAUGUCCGGGCUCAACCCGGGCCGGCCGUUGAAACUGGGGAUCUUGAGUGGGCGAGAAGUAUGCGGAAUGCGUGGUGUAGCGGUGAAAUGCAUAGAUAUCACGCAGAACUCCGAUUGCGAAGGCAGCAUACCGGCGCGCGACUGACGCUGAGGCACGAAAGCGUGGGGAUCGAACAGGAUUAGAUACCCUAGUAGUC